rnacentral:rRNA from 1 species
UAGGGAAUCUUCCACAAUGGACGCAAGUCUGAUGGAGCAACGCCGCGUGAGUGAAGAAGGCUUUCGGGUCGUAAAACUCUGUUAUUUGAAGAAGAACGUGUGUGACAGUAACUGGUCAUGCAGUGACGGUAUUCAAUCAGAAAGUCACGGCUAACUACGUGCCAGCAGCCGCGGUAAUACGUAGGUGGCAAGCGUUGUCCGGAUUUAUUGGGCGUAAAGCGAGUGCAGGCGGUCUUUUAAGUCUGAUGUGAAAGCCUUCGGCUUAACCGAAGAAGGGCAUCGGAAACUGGGAGACUUGAGUGCAGAAGAGGAGA